ensembl:lncRNA
CAGCAGACACUGAAAGGACUCUGAUAGUUCGAGUGAAAGUAGCAGUUCCUCCUGAAGGUCAGAGAUUGCAGCAUCUGAGGGCCUCUUCAAAAGAAGACGUAGUUGAUGAAGGCGUUCUGGAGCAGGACCAGAAAGACCACGACCAAGCAGCCUUGAGAUCUUAGGCAGCGUCUCCCUCAGGUCCCUCUCUAUCUCCCCACACAUCCACCAACCACUGGAACACAUCUCCAAAGUUCUGCUGGACCAGCUCAGCUUCCCCUCAGAAGAAGUGCUGCCACCUGCCAGAUGAAGGAGCCUUUUGAGAGGCAGCUGGCAUCGUGAUUGGACUGUACUUUGGUCUGUUCCAAUCCAGCUUCAGCUCCAGAGACGGCAGGCGGGACGAGUCAACGGAGGCCUGGUGGACGAAGGCAUGCAGCUGAGUACAAUCCAGAAAACAGAGGAGGAGGAAACAAACAUAGUAGUAUAGUAUAAAAUAUACAUAGUAUAUUGUAUAAAUAACAAGUCAAAGGAAAGAGACAUACAUUGUAGAAUUGUAGUAAUUGUGG